AAAGCCCCCUCCAGCCUAACGUCUUCCCUACGGAGGGAGGGCCUGGGCGGUCGCGUUGGCGGGAGGGAGGUUACCUUUCCCAGUCUCGCUCUGGCCGCCCGAGCCAGGAGGAAGCAGCGGCGAGGUCUGCGGGAGGCAUGGCGGGAGCUCCGGACGAGCGCGGGCGGGGCCCCGCGGCAGGGGAGCAGCUGCAGCAGCAACACGUCUCUUGCCAGGUCUUCCCCGAGCGUCUGGCCCAGGGGAAUCUCCAGCAAGGGUUCUUCUCCAGCUUCUUCACCAGCAGCCAGAAGUGCCAGCUUAGGCUCCUGAAGACGCUGGAGACAAUGCUGUUAACAAAGAUAGACACUUUUCUUGCGAAGACUGUAAUGGAAAUGUCAGUGGAGGUUUUGAUGCUUCAACAUCUCAGAUAGUUUUGUGCCAGAAUAAUAUCCAUAAUCAGGCCCAUAUGAACAGAGUGGUCACACACGAGCUCAUUCAUGCAUUUGAUCAUUGUCGUGCCCAUGUUGACUGGUUCACCAACAUCAGACAUUUGG
rnacentral:sRNA from 1 species